rnacentral:sRNA from 1 species
GCCAGCUGCGGUGGCGCACACCUGUUAUCCCAGGGACUUGGGAGGCUGAGGCAGGAGGAUUCCGAGUUCAAGGCCAGCCUCAGCAACUCAGCAAAAUCCUGUCUCAA